rnacentral:rRNA from 1 species
CACGUAGGCACCAAGCGUUGUCCGGAUUUAUUGGGCGUAAAGAGCUCGUAGGCGGUCGUUCAAGUCGCGUGUGAAAGCCCCCGGCUCAACUGGGGAGGGUCACGCGAUACUGAUCGACUCGAAGGCAGGAGAGGGUAGUGGAAUUCCCGGUGUAGUGGUGAAAUGCGUAGAUAUCGGGAGGAACACCAGUGGCGAAGGCGGCGACCUGGGCCAAUACUGACGCUGAGGUGCGAAAGCGUGGGGAGCAAACAGGG